CGGGAGGGAGGAAGGGAGCUGGGCCGGCCGGUGCCCCCGCCGCGGCAGCCGGCCUUCCCCUCCGCUAGAACACGAGCUGGAGGUGGGGUUGAUGCCUUCGAUCGCCCUGUUUCUCUCCUUUUGGAAAGUUGUGGAGCGGGCUGCUGGGCUCCGCAGACGGAGGCUGCAGGAGCCAGGCCUGGCCGCCCGUUAGUGCUCGUCUGGGCAUCUGGAGCGUGCUCGGAAAAGGGUGAAACACAAACAGGGGUUCCACACUUCUGUUACAAUGUGUGUUUCAAGCACCUUCACUCAAACAAGGUCCAAAUCUCCUAGCUGUAUUUUUUUUUUUUUUUUUUUUUUACUUUCCAGCUGUUCUUCCCUUUCUCAGACCGGGAGAGCGUUGCAGGCGCAGGCAGUAGGGGGGUGCCGGGACAAGCAGAGGAGGCUCUCUCUCUCUCUCUCUGUAGCUGGGAGCUGCAGCUCGGUUUAACCCCUGGAAGGGCGCUCGACCCGGAGUUUGAGCCUACGCGGGCUGCGGUGCCACUGGAGAUCGAGCCUGAGCCUUGCAAACCGGAGACAAGGAAGCAGAAGGGCUGAGAAAGGAAGCGCUCUGGAGCUAGGAUCUUUCCAAACUCCCAGGGCGCAAAAUUACAAGCACCGAAGUAAUCGUCAUUAGCGAGGCGUGCACGCAGCCAAGAAAGCCAAAUGAGACAGGUGGGCACAGCGAUGGCAGCGCCGCUUUAGGAUUGCCCUGCGAUGCCUUUAAAUCCCCGUUUCCAAACUCCAGCGGAACUUUGGAUUUCGUUCUGUGUUGUUACUUUUGCCCGUGGUGGCUGAUUCCCCAUCUCUGGGCCACUCCAGGGAAGGGGAGAUCCUCCAGGCACCAGGCUGCUUGCACUCAACAGCCCGUUUUUCCCACCGCUCUCCAAACAAUACAAAGUUUUUCUUUCCAGUAACUUUUGGCCGUCUGCGUGAAGUGACCAUUUCCAGAGAAAUCCUUGUUUCUACUGCUGAGCAGGACCUGCUGGCACAGAAGGAAUGGAUGGAACAAAACAUCAUGUUGUGCAAGAGGACUGAAAAUGCUGGCUUUGAGAAGAAACGCAGCCCUGGAAAUAGUAAGGGAGGAUACCCAGCACAUGAGUCUUGGAAACGUUUUGGUUCUCUGUGCCCACAUCCUGUGGGAUUGAGCUAGAAGGCACAACCACCUUUACCGUGUGCACAGAGCGGGCUUGAUUGGGAUUUCACAGCCAGCGGAAGAGAGACAUGGGCUGGGCACAUUUGUGGGGCCACGUGGGACACUUGGCAUCACCUGCAGCUUUCUGAUCUGGACCCAACACUUUGCCAAAAGCCCCGCUGAGCCACAGAGAGCUGCUGCUGACAGCACAGGAUUAACAAUAAACUGCUAACACUCCCCUCCUGCACGCGUGCUAAGAAAGCCCAGCUGGGUGAAAAAGUCUGGCAGUGAGGAGGGAGGGCCCCAGGAGCCUUCCCUCAGAGGAUGAGAGCUCCCUUGGAGGAGCCACCCUACAAUGGGUGCCUGGAGGGAAACUGUGGGGCAGCCUGAGCUGGAGGAGCAGAUCACACUGCCUGGGCUGGUGCUGCUCCAGGAGACAGCUGGGUGGAAAAUGGUACCUGGAAGGAUGGGACACUGCAGCUGAACCAGAACCACUCUGCAGGCAGGAUGUGCACAGCCCCAGGGGUGCUCCCAACACCCACCUCUCGUGCAGUCCUAUGCCCUGGGACAUGCAGCCCUUCCAGACACAUUCCCUGCUGCCUCUGGUUCUUUUCCAGCCUUCCAGUGCUUGUGUCUGACCUCGGUUUGGCACAGCCACACCAGUCCACCCCCAGAGCACAGGGGAAAGCUUCUCCCUGUGCUAGUCCUAGAAAGACACUGGCAUCCCUCACUUUUUUAGGCUCCAGCUGAACAAACACAGGUGCUGCUCUUCACACCCGCCAGCUGCCCUGCUCUGGGGCACGAGCUCUCUCGCUGGCUCUAGGGCUUCAUUUGCACAAGCUGCCUUUUUUAUUCCCUCAUCCCUAAGCCUCAGGCUGCGGCUGCUGCUCUGGGACUGGCAUUGCUUGCACCUGAAGGCAGCUGGGGCUGCCCAGGAGUUCCCCCUGAUUUUUGUGCCCUACAUGCCUGCUCAGAGGGGAUCCAGAAGCACAGAGGCGAUGCCUGCACCCCCAAAUCCUGCAGCAAAAGGCAGCAGCAGGCAGACACCAUGGCCAGACAGGAGACUGAUGUCCUGGGGCUUGUCAAGGCUCUGGGAAAAGAGGCAGAGCUUGGAGCAGGGUGGCUUGUGUUCCCCCUGACUACUCCAGCUCAUUGUGCUGCCUUCCCUCCUGACACUAUCCUGCCUGACCAGGAAAUCUUCCUGCAGCCUGGUUAUCUCUGUCUCAGCCUCACCCAGGCCAGAAGAAGCCCUGAACACAGCCCUGUGCUCCUCAAAGUCCAUGUCUAGCCAGGGAUGAGGCCAGCUGGUUUUCAGAGAUCACAGCCCAUGCAAAGCCCUGAAUUCCCUCCUUCUGUCCUGCCCAAUGCCCCCACGACAGCAAAGAGGACUGGUCACUGGUGGUAUAUUUAUAUAUCAAUACAAAUAAAAACAAAACAACUCCCAAAAAAGUAACAACAACAAAAA